rnacentral:lncRNA from 1 species
GAAAAGUGGUCAUCAAUGAAUUUAAUAAUUCAACAAAUAAUUAUUGAGCUCAUACCAUGUGCCAAAGAUGGUGUUAUGAGAGAGUUAAAACUGUGAACAAAAUACACAAAGUCUUCACCCUUACAGAGUAAUAUUUUACAGGGGACAACAUUGGUUAACUAUAUAGUACAUUGCCACGUACUAUAAAGAUAAUACAGUACAGUUAGGUAGUUAUAAGUAUUGUGAAAACAGUGAGUGGGAAAAGCCACCCUGAGGAGUUACAAUGUGAGCAAAGACCUGAUCAAAGUGAGAUAACCAAGUAUGCAAAAUCCAGAGGAUGAAUGUUCUGUCAUAAUAAAAACAUUUAGGUUACAUUAGUGGAAAUGGUAGAGUACAGAUGUUGGAAACCACUCUCCUCUGUAAAAGCAAGGAAAGCACCAGUAAAAACUGUUAAUACUUUUUUUUUUUCAGAAUGCUGGGAAUUAACCAAAGGCUUGGAAUAAUCAAGAACACUUAUUUAAGAAAAAUAGCUGCAUCUUGGUGCCACUUUUAAGAUGAGCAGAGACUGCAA